UUCAAGGGGUGCCCACGGGUGUGGGCUGAGAUGAUACCCUCUAACCUGAUCCGGACAAUGCCGGCGAAGGGAUGGAUAGU
rnacentral:ncRNA from 1 species